rnacentral:rRNA from 1 species
UACAGAGGUCCCAAGCGUUGUUCGGAUUCAUUGGGCGUAAAGGGUGCGUAGGCGGCGCGGUAAGUCGGGUGUGAAAUCUCGGGGCUUAACUCCGAAACUGCAUUCGAUACUGCCGUGCUUGAGGACUGGAGAGGAGACUGGAAUUUACGGUGUAGCGGUGAAAUGCGUAGAUAUCUGGAGGAACACCGGUGGCGAAGGCGGCAUCCUGGCCUGUUCUUGACGCUGAGGCGCGAAAGCUAGGGGAGCAAGCGGG